GUAGGAGAGCGUUCUGUAAGCCUGAGAAGGUGUGUUGAGAAGCAUGCUGGAGGUAUCAGAAGUGCGAAUGCUGACAUGAGUAGCGAUAAUGGGGGUGAAAAGCCCCCACGCCGUAAGCCCAAGGUUUCCUGUUCAACGUUCAUCGGAGCAGGGUGAGUCGGCCCCUAAGGCGAGGCAGAGAUGCGUAGCUGAUGGGAAGCAGGUUAAUAUUCCUGCACCGUCGUUAGAUGCGAUGGGGGGACGGAUCGCGGAAAGUCGUCCGGGUGUUGGAAAUCCCGGUUAUUGAUUCGAAGGAGGCUACUAGGCAAAUCCGGUAGCGUAAUCCAAGGAAUUGAAACGAGUGGCCUUGUGCCGCGAAGCGAUUGGAAGUGGUUCCAAGAAAAGCCUCUAAGCUUCAGUCUAACGAGACCGUACCGCAAACCGACACAGGUGGGCGAGAUGAGUAUUCUAAGGCGCUUGAGAGAACUCGGGAGAAGGAACUCGGCAAAUUUGUACCGUAACUUCGGGAUAAGGUACGCCCUUGUAUCUUGACUGGCCUGCGCCAGAAGGGAGAAGGGGUUGCAAAAAAAUGGUGGCUGCGACUGUUUAAUAAAAACACAGCACUCUGCUAACACGAAAGUGGACGUAUAGGGUGUGACGCCUGCCCGGUGCUGGAAGAUUAAAUGAUGGGGUGAGAGCUCUUGAUUGAAGUCCCAGUAAACGGCGGCCGUAACUAUAACGGUCCUAAGGUAGCGAAAUUCCUUGUCGGGUAAGUUCCGACCUGCACGAAUGGCGUAACGAUGGCCACACUGUCUCCUCCCGAGACUCAGCGAAGUUGAAAUGGUUGUGAUGAUGCAAUCUACCCGCGGCUAGACGGAAAGACCCCAUGAACCUUUACUGUAGCUUUACAUUGGACUUUGAACCAAUCUGUGUAGGAUAGGUGGGAGGCUUUGAAGCGUGAACGCUAGUUUGCGUGGAGCCGACCUUGAAAUACCACCCUGGUUUGUUUGAGGUUCUAACCUUGGCCCGUUAUCCGGGUUGGGGACAGUGUAUGGUAGGCAGUUUGACUGGGGCGGUCUCCUCCAAAAGCGUAACGGAGGAGUUCGAAGGUACGCUAGGUACGGUCGGACAUCGUGCUAAUAGUGCAAUGGCAUAAGCGUGCUUAACUGCGAGACAGACAAGUCGAGCAGGUACGAAAGUAGGACAUAGUGAUCCGGUGGUUCUGUAUGGAAGGGCCAUCGCUCAACGGAUAAAAGGUACUCUGGGGAUAACAGGCUGAUUCCUCCCAAGAGUUCAUAUCGACGGGGGAGUUUGGCACCUCGAUGUCGGCUCAUCACAUCCUGGGGCUGUAGUAGGUCCCAAGGG
rnacentral:rRNA from 1 species